rnacentral:lncRNA from 1 species
UUGAGUAUUCUCCUUAAAAUGACAAAAUGUCUUUUCCCAUAAAAAAUAAAUCAAAACAAACUCCCUUUGUUAUUGUUACCACGAACUACGAGGUUUUGAUCCUCUAUUGCACUUUGUUGGUACAUAGGCAUGAGGCUUCAAAAGUCUUGGCAAACACAAAGAAAUAAACAAAAAACUUCUUUUCCCAUCUCUCCAAUCUUUUUAGAAGCAACACCCUCUUCAAGCCAAAAUGCACAUAUUUUCAAAGAGGUUCCCAUGGAGUACCAUGGAUGUUUAGGAUGCUAAU